UACGUAGGUGGCAAGCGUUGUCCGGAUUUAUUGGGUUUAAAGGGAGCGUAGGUGGGUUGGUAAGUCAGUGGUGAAAUCCCCGAGCUUAACUUGGGAACUGCCAUUGAUACUAUCAGUCUUGAAUACUGUGGAGGUUAGCGGAAUAUGUCAUGUAGCGGUGAAAUGCUUAGAUAUGACAUAGAACACCAAUUGCGAAGGCAGCUGGCUACACAAUUAUUGACACUGAGGCUCGAAAGCGUGGGGAUCAAACAGG
rnacentral:rRNA from 1 species